rnacentral:rRNA from 1 species
UGGGGGAUAUUGCACAAUGGGCGCAAGCCUGAUGCAGCGACACCGCGUGGGGGAUGAAGGCCUUCGGGUUGUAAACUUCUUUUGCUCUGAACAAGGCGCACUUUGGGGUGUGUUGAGUGUAGGGGUUGAUUAGCGCCGGCUAACUACGUGCCAGCAGCCGCGGUAAUACGUAGGGCGCGAGCGUUGUCCGGAAUUAUUGGGCGUAAAGGGCUUGUAGGUGGCUGGUUGCGUCUGUCGUGAAAGCUCAUGGCUUAACUGUGGGUUUGCGGUGGGUACGGGCUGGCUUGAGUGCAGUAGGGGAGGCUGGAAUUCCUGGUGUAGCGGUGGAAUGCGCAGAUAUCAGGAGGAAUACCGGUGGCGAUGGCGGGUCUCUGGGCUGUUACUGACACUGAGGAGCGAAAGCAUGGGGAGCGAACAGG